UAAGCGAGUAGUGAAAGCGUCCGGCUUAACCGGAUACACAUUAUUCGAACUGCAACGCUAGAGGAUGAGAGAGGUUAUUGGAAUUCCCAGUGUAGGAGUGAAAUCCGUAGAUAUUGGGAGGAACACCGAUGGCGUAGGCAGAUAACUGGCUCAUUCCUGACACUAAGGCACGAAAGCGUGGGGAGCGAACGGGAUUAGAUACCCCGGUAGUCCACGCCGUAAACUAUGGAUGCUA
rnacentral:rRNA from 1 species